GACGAACGCUGGCGGCGUGGAUUAGGCAUGCAAGUCGAACGGUAUCAUCCUUUCGGGGGUGAGAGAGUGGCGAACUGGUGAGUAACACGUAGGUUAUCUACCCUCAAGACGGGGACAACCCAGGGAAACUUGGGCUAAUACCGGAUGUGAGCAACUUUUAGUUGUUUGAAAGGUGGCGUAAGCUGUCGCUUGGGGAUGAGCCUGCGUCCUAUUAGUUAGUUGGUGAGGUAACGGCUCACCUAGGCAAUGAUAGGUAGGCGGCCUUAACGGGUGGUCGCCCACACUGGGAUUGAGAUACGGCCCAGACUCCUACGGGAGGCAGCAGUCGAGAAUAGUCUACAAUGGUCGGAAGACUGAUAGUGCGACGCCGCGUGAACGAUGAAUCCCUUCGGGGUGUAAAGUUCUUUUAUAUGUGAGCAGUGCUUCUUAUAUUAACAGUAUGGGGAGAGAGAUAUUAGCAUAUGAAUAAGCAAACGGCUAAACUCCGUGCCCAGCAGCCCGGGUAAA
rnacentral:rRNA from 1 species